rnacentral:rRNA from 1 species
CGCGGUACCCUAACCGCGCGAAGGUAGCAUAAUCACUUGUUCUUUAAAUGAGGACUCGUAUCAAUGGCACCACGAGGACUUUACUGUCUCCUUUUUCUAAUCAGUGAAACUAAUCUUCCCGUGAAGAAGCGGGAAUAAAUAGAUAAGACGAGAAGACCCCAUGGAGCUUUAAGCUUACUGCACCUCUAUUUUCUAUAACCUCUUAUUAAACGGAAUACUGCUUACUUAGCUUUAGGUUGGGGUGACCGCGGAGUAUAACAUAACCUCCAUGAUGAACAAAACUAUUUUCUUAUCUAAGAACAACAGUUCUAAGAAUUAGUAUUCUAACAUAAAAUGAUCCGAUAAUCGAUCAACGGACUAAGUUACCCUGGGGAUAACAGCGCAAUCCAUUUCAAGAGCCCCUAUCGACAAAUGGGUUUACGACCUCGAUGUUGGAUCAGGAUAUCCUAGUGGUGCAGCAGCUACUGAAGGUUCGUUUGUUCAACGAUUAAAAUCCU